AGGGUGACCAACCUUCCUGGUUUGCCUGGGAUUGAGGUGGUUCCUGGGAGGCAGGACUUUCAGUUUCAAAACCAGGAAAGUC
rnacentral:miRNA from 1 species